rnacentral:rRNA from 1 species
GUAGGUGGCAAGCGUUGUCCGGGAAUUAUUGGGGCGUAAAGCGCGCGCAGGCGGUUCUUUAAGUCUGAUGUGAAAGCCCACGGGCUCAACCGUGGAGGGUCAUUGGAAACUGGAGAACUUGAGUACAGAAGAGGAAAGCGGAAUUCCACGUGUAGCGGUGAAAUGCGUAGAGAUGUGGAGGAACACCAGUGGCGAAGGCGGCUUUCUGGUCUGUAACUGACGCUGAGGCGCGAAAGCGUGGGGAGCAAACAGGAUUAGAUACCCUGGUAGUCCACGCCGUAAACGAUGAGUGCUAAGUGUUAGGGGGUUUCCGCCCCUUAGUGCUGCAGCUAGCGCAUUAAGCACUCCGCCUGGGGAGUACGGCCGCAAAGGCUG